CUGCCCUUCUCAUUAGCCAAGAGGCAACGGAAGAAGGUAAAAAAACGAAAUGGUCGAGAGAUAUUUUUUUGGAGAGGCCAAUACUUGGUUGGCACAACGAGCUUCUUCCGAAACUCAGAAAUGGAAACGAAGAUUUGUUCUUCAAUUUCACUCGUAUGUCGGUUAAACAGUAUGACUAUUUAUUGUCUCUUGUGAGUGAGAAAAUGACCAAAAAAAAAAAAAAAAAAAAAAAACACUUGCAUGAGGAAACCUCUGACACCAUCUGAGAAGCUUUCUGUAUGCUUAAGGAAAACAUGUUGAAAUAAAAGCUCCUGCAUUGGCAGGUUCGACAUAUACGAACUACAAAAAAUUCAACAGCAUAGUGUUGAUGGCAUCUUGUGACGCAAAUUACUGUUUUGUAUUUGUAGAUAUAGGUAAUUUUGGACGCAUCAGCGAUGCAGGGGUUUUUUCUAAUUCUUUCCUGGGACGAGCAGUGGAUCAAAAUAUGCUGAAUCUGCCACAUGAUAAAAAGUUGCCUAAAAGUGCAAGAGUUUUGCCUCAUGUAUUUUUAGGCGAUGAAGCAUUUGGUUUGAAAAAGCAUUUUUUGAGACCAUAUCCUCGGACCAGGAGUAAUUUAUCAUGCUCAGAGAAAAUUUAUAACUACAGACUCUCUCGAUCAAGAAGAUGCAUCGAAAAUGCAUUUGGCAUACUGUCAUCUCACUGGCAGGUUUUAAGAAAACCACUUCUUUUAACUCCAGAAAACAGUGAGACAGUUGUAAAUGCCUGUUGUUGCCUCCACAACUUUUUAAUUAAAGAUGGAAUUCAGAAUGGUAACAAACUAUAUUGUCCCAAAAUGUACGGUGACUACCCUUUGUUGAACGGAGAGGUCCAGGAUGGGCU